UGCGUAGGUGGCUGAGCAAGUCGUUGAUGAAAUCCCCGGGCUCAACCUGGGAACUGUUUUCGAAACUGCUCAGCUUGAGGAUGGUUGAGGAAAGCGGAAUUCCCGGUGGAGCGGUGAAAUGCGUAGAUAUCGGGAGGAACACCAGAGGCGAAGGCGGCUUUCUGGCCAUUCCUGACACUGAGGCACGAAAGCUAGGGGAGCGAACG
rnacentral:rRNA from 1 species